rnacentral:rRNA from 1 species
GAUGAACGCUAGCUACAGGCUUAACACAUGCAAGUCGAGGGACCGGCGCACGGGUGCGUGACACGUAUCUAACCUGCCCUUUACUCGGGGGUAGCCUUUCGCAAGUAAGAUUAAUGUCCGAUAUAAAGGAUGGGGAUGCGUUACAUUAGGUUGGUGGUGAGGUAACGGCGCACAAAGCCUUCGAUGGAUAGCGGUUCUGAGAGGAAGUGCCACGACAACGGAACUGGGAUACGGUCCCAACUCCGACGCGAGGGAGGAGUGAGGAAUAUGAGUCAAGGGGCGGUAGCCUGAACCAGCCACGUAGCGUGAAGGAUGAAGGCUUAUGGGUCGUAAACUUCUUGUAUAUAAGAAUAGGUAUUAUAUGAAUAAGGAUCGGCUAACUCCGUGCCAGCCGCCGCGGUAAUUC